rnacentral:rRNA from 1 species
AUACGGAGGGUGCAAGCGUUGUUCGGAAUCACUGGGCGUAAAGGGCGCGCAGGCGGUUUUACAAGUCAGAUGUGAAAGCCCACGGCUCAACCGUGGAAGUGCAUUUGAAACUGUAAGACUUGAGUAUCAGAGGGGAAGGUGGAAUUCCCGGUGUAGAGGUGAAAUUCGUAGAUAUCGGGAGGAAUACCGGUGGCGAAGGCGACUUUCUGGCUGAAUACUGACGCUGAGGCGCGAAAGCGUGGGGAGCAAACAGGAUUAGAAACCCUUGUAGUCC